AGACCCAAGCUAGCAUUGGUGACCUGUUCCCAUCUCACCUUUGGGAAGAAGGGACAUCUCUGGCCAUCCCUUCAGGGACAAUGGAAGCUCAAGAUCACACAACGACUUAGUAUAAGGCUAAAGAGCAGCAGGGCUCCCUCUCCUGGUGUAGAAGGGCUUUCUCUGGUAGCCAUUGCAACUCUAGGCGUGGAGACUGAACGGUGAACCGCCCCGGUGAGGGCAAUCCUCCAAAACAGUGCUCACGCUUCUAUGUGCCACAACCCUUUAAUACAGUUCCUCAUGCUACGCUGACCCCCAACCGUGGAACUGUUUUCAUUGCGACUUCAUUGCUGUAAUUUUUCUACUGCUGCGUACUUCAGUGUGGAUGUUUUUGGAGACUCAGGAUUGUCAGAGGGGUCGUGACCCACAGUGUGAGAACUGCCACUCUGAACCUUUCCCCUAGGGAACUUCCCGGAUGGAUUUAGCUACAUGCAUCAAAAACCUUAGAAAGGCAUCCAUGCGCUGUGUAAACACCUUCUUCUAGGAACAGAUUAAAGGGAGGAAUUCUAAAUGUGCUGAAAGGUGUUAUAUAAGCCAGAUUUAAUACUAUUUGAAACCGAAAUAUUAGGGAAAGAAACAUUUUCUGACGGAAACAAAAACUUAUUAAGUAUAGUACGGUAAUCCUUUUUCAUCCAUGGUUUUACUUUUUACCCACAGUCGACUAUGCCUCCCAAAUAUUUUUUUUUAAAUUCUAUUGGUAAACAACUAAUAGAUUUCAAAUUUUGUACUGUCCUGCUGUGUUGUGCCUGAGGCUGUCAUAGCUAGCAGUCGUGGUCAAUUUUACAGGUCUAUGUAGAGAAAACCUUAAUUGAGAAAUCGCCACCAUAGGACUGGCUAUGGACAUGUUUCUGGGACGUUUUAGUUAUUAAUUGACAUGGGAGCAUGGAGCCCCCUGUGGGCAGUACCAUCCCCUAGCAGGUGGGUCUAGGCUGUGUUAAGAACUGUUGCUAAGCAAGCCAGAGGAAGCAAGUCAGGAGGUAGCAUUCCUUCAUGGUUUCUGCUUCAAGCCCCUGCCUUGGCUUCUCUUGAUGAUCAACUGUAAUUCCUCCCCAAGUUGGUUUUGGUCAAUGUUUUAUCGUAGUGACAGAAAGCACACUAGAACAAGGACAAGCAUCCCCCUUUUAGCCGGUGUAUACACACGGCAUAUGCGAUAUUACCUGCUAAUUACUGGCUAUCUCGGUUAUGAAAUUGACUAACACGGUAUCACAGGCAGGCCUGUGUUCUAUUAGCCCUCGCUUAAUAUAGUAAUUACUCCAUUUUGUUAUUAUUAGUGUUACUUAAUCUAACUUACAAAUUAAACCUCUCAAAGGUAGGCAUUCAUAGGGAAAACUGCAGCAUAUGUUAUGAGCUUUUGGCACCGUUUUUAGUUUAGAUAUCACAGGGGAACAUGGGACAAACCCCUCAGGCAAAACAAGUUCCUGUGUAUCUAAAUCAUGAAAUACCGCAAAUCACUAAAGUGUGGUGAAUGCAGGUAAACAAGGAAGGGUGUUUACGUUUUAUCAAGAACCUGUGAAGAUACAGGAUACAAAACAGAAUGUUAUAAGAAUUUUUGAAUAUGUAGUGUGAUUAAUUUAAAAAAAGCUUUCCUUCUAUAUAAAGCUCAUCUCAAAACGGUAUUACAAAGUGAUGGCAGCUUUACCAAAAAUAGCACUGUGAAAAAGCACACAGGCACUUUUUAAAAGUCUACAAGGAUUUUCAUCUCUGGGAAAAAGAGGAAUAUUGUUAACUAGAUAUUCAUCUGUUUUAAUUAUUCUAGAGUCCGUUUACGUAUGUAGAUGGGUGUUUUGUCUGCAUGUAUAUCUGCACAUCAGAAGAUGGCUUUGGAUCUCACGGGACUGCAGUUACAGACGGUUGGAGAAGCCAUGUGGAUGCUGGGACCUGAACUCUGGACCUCGGAGGAGCAGCCAGGGCUCUCCCUAGCCCAGUGAAUUCUAAAUACAAAGGGAAAAAUUAUAA
rnacentral:sRNA from 1 species